AGUGAACGCUGGCGGUAGGCCUAACACAUGCAAGUCGAACGGCAGCACAGUAAGAGCUUGCUCUUACGGGUGGCGAGUGGCGGACGGGUGAGGAAUACAUCGGAAUCUACUUUUUCGUGGGGGAUAACGUAGGGAAACUUACGCUAAUACCGCAUACGACCUACGGGUGAAAGCAGGGGAUCUUCGGACCUUGCGCGAUUGAAUGAGCCGAUGUCGGAUUAGCUAGUUGGCGGGGUAAAGGCCCACCAAGGCGACGAUCCGUAGCUGGUCUGAGAGGAUGAUCAGCCACACUGGAACGGGGACACGGUCCAGGCUCCUACGGGAGGCAGCAGUGGGGAAUAUUGGACAAUGGGCGCAAGCCUGAUCCAGCCAUACCGCGUGGGUGAAGAAGGCCUUCGGGUUGUAAAGCCCUUUUGUUGGGAAAGAAAAGCAGCAGGUUAAUACCCCGCUGUUCUGACGGUACCCAAAGAAUAAGCACCGGCUAACUUCGUG
rnacentral:rRNA from 1 species